rnacentral:rRNA from 1 species
GACGAACGCUGGCGGCGUGCUUAACACAUGCAAGUCGAACGGAAAGGCCCUGCUUUUGUGGGGUGCUCGAGUGGCGAACGGGUGAGUAACACGUGAGUAACCUGCCCUUGACUUUGGGAUAACUUCAGGAAACUGGGGCUAAUACCGGAUAGGAGCUCCUGCUGCAUGGUGGGGGUUGGAAAGUUUCGGCGGUUGGGGAUGGACUCGCGGCUUAUCAGCUUGUUGGUGGGGUAGUGGCUUACCAAGGCUUUGACGGGUAGCCGGCCUGAGAGGGUGACCGGCCACAUUGGGCCUGAGAUACGGCCCAGACUCCUACGGGAGGGAACAGUGGGGAAUAUUGCACAAUGGGCGGAAGCCUGAUGCAACAACGCCGCGUGCGGGAAGACGGGCUUCGGGUUGUAAACCGCUUUCGCCUGUGACGAAGCGUGAGUGACGGUAAUGGGUAAAGAAGCACCGGCUAACUACGUG